rnacentral:rRNA from 1 species
GACGGGGACCCGCACAAGCGGUGGAUGAUGUGGAUUAAUCGAUGCAACGCGAAAACCUUACCUACCCUUGACAUGUCCGGAAUCCUGCAGAGAUGCGGGAGUGCCCGAAAGGGAAUCGGAACACAGGUGCUGCAUGGCUGUCGUCAGCUCGUGUCGUGAGAUGUUGGGUUAAGUCCCGCAACGAGCGCAACCCUUAUCAUUAGUUGCUACGCAAGGGCACUCUAAUGAGACUGCCGGUGACAAACCGGAGGAAAAUGAAAAUGACGUCAAGUCCUCAUGGCCCUUAUGGGUAGGGCUUCACACGUCAUACAAUGGUCGGUACAGAGGGUUGCCAAGCCGCGAGGUGGAGCCAAUCCCAGAAAGCCGAUCGUAGUCCGGAUUGUUCUCUGCAACUCGAGAGCAUGAAGUCGGAAUCGCUAGUAAUCGCGGAUCAGCAUGUCGCGGUGAAUACGUUCCCGGGUCUU